rnacentral:lncRNA from 1 species
GGGGAAAUGGCACCUCGAGGGGUUCAGGUCUCCAUGAUCAAUAACCACAAUUUUGAUCUGAAUGAGCUGCCGACUGAGCAUGAGUAGCUCAAGAAGGAGUAGUCACCCAUGGAGCAAGAGUAGCCGCCUAUGGCACAACAUGAGCUUUAAUAUUCACAAUGGUUGGAGGCUACUCAAAUCCCGCUUGUGUGAGAAAAAAUAACUCUUGGCCCAAAGUAUAGCCCUGUCAGAAAUUAUCGAAACAAUAUCCUUAUCCCAAGGACGAUUGUAAAGCUUAUGUGGAACUUUUCAAUUUCUUGCUUCCUAUUUUUUGGUGAUUGACUGACGCUAUUGCUAAACUUGAGGGAAGGACUUGGUAUACUGCCUCAUGAUCAAUGUGUCACCUGGAAUGGCUUUUCUAUUCAUUUCCCAUGAUGGUUUUGAUAUGUAGAUUGUUUGGACAAGCAUUUAUUCAUUCGGUAAAGCUUUGUGAAACAUCAACGGUGUGAAAUGAUAGUAGGUCAAGAAGUGUGUUGGAUCAUGAGAUAACAUAUUUUCUAAGUUGUUAAUCAUGUGUGUUAACACCAUGGGUAGUAUGAGAGAAGGUCAACAUGCAUGUUUGGGUCUGAAAUGACCUCAUGACCCAAAAGGGAGAGAAACAUGCCUAAUAGGAAUAUGAACAAUAUGGAAGUUACUUGUUGCAUGGAUGUUAACUGUGGUUAUGAAACCACACAAGAUGUCAGAGGACCCGCAUCCUUACAUAUCAAGGUUGACUUCACAUGCCAACUGGAUUUCGACUAAAUUAUUGUAUAUGCAUGUAUGUUAUAUCUUGACAUCUUACCAAACAAAAAACACCAAAAAAUACACUAUUUACUUCUCUUUGAUGCAUAUUCUAGUUGGAGAGUAAUCAUAACCUUAUGUGGAUAUUUUUCCAUAAUAGAAUAUAUAAUGGUCUAGUGAGGCAAGGUGUAAAUGGAGAGGACAAUAGUCGAACAUGAAAACAUCCAACAUUGUGUUAUAGUUGCAUCAAGUUGUCUAGUGAGUCAAUAUGGAAAUGGAGGAGGCUCAUAGGGCAACACGAGAACACCCAACAUGUUGCUCUACUUACUUCCUAUUGGUACGAAGAGACCGAGAGUAGUGAAAGGUUAAUCAUAACACAUGGACAAGAUAUCUCAUACAAGAUGAAAAUGGAGUGAGUCUUGUAUGAAAAUGCUAACAAAGUAUGAGUGUGCAUAGCAUGCCAUCCCCUCCCUUUCUUGUUCGAGUUUCCUUCACCAACCCCAUAGUACCCUGAUCAACACUAUUAUUUGGAUAUGCUUCUCAUCUGAGAAAGAAUAGUUAUUGAGAGACAUUUAUAUCAUUGUCUAGAUAGACUUGUUCAAGGGCCAAUAAUGGAGGUGUCUUAUCUAUUAUAGCCACAUUCCGGAGAAGAAUAAAAAAAGUAGACACAACCUGAUAAUUUAUUGAGAUUUGAAUUGAGGAUCCACAUACAUCAACUAUCCCACAUGUGAAUCAAAUCCACAUCCUACAUGGGCAUUGGGCUUUAGUUGGACUACCACUUUAUGGACAAGCCAUGUGCUCCAUGUAGUCUAUGUUGCAAAGGCGGGAGGACAAGGAGCAAAUAGUUUUUGAUGGCUGGACAUUGAAGUUAUUUGUCAAGAAAUUUGUUUCCUGACAUGGUUUGUUUAUUUCAUUAUUUAGUAUUUGAUAUCGGUUCAAUGCUCUAGUAUGUAACAUUCUUCUCACAUUUUGGGUCUAGCUCUUGGUGUUCAUGAGUUCAUUACUUAUGUUAACUAUUAUUGUUGUGGCCACUUGUUCGACAAGAGACUAUAAAGUUAACUAAGAUACUCUCAUAUUUAUAUUAAUAUAGUUGGCACUGAGGUAAUAAUAAACCUUGAAUACUACUCAUAUUUGUCAAAUAGGAGGUCAAGCUGGAUCUGUCUGGCGCAUCAUCUAUGGUCACAUGGUGUAUUGUCUAUUCUAACCCCAAUGAGUAUUGCAGAAUGACAUGUUCCUGCGAGGAGGAAUGAGUCACUCUUUUGUGUCAAGGGGUGAUGCCAUGCCUCAUAAUUGACAAUAAAAAAUUAACCACCUACAUCAAAAGUCUAACCCAAGACAGGGAAUAGGCGCCAUUGCAAUUUUACCGCACAAAGUCAUCGGUAUUUUGCAAUUGAAUGUUCCCCAUGUUGUGACUGAGAACACAAAACACAAAACACCCCACAAAACACUAUUCACUUCUCUUCGAUGCAUAUUCUAGUGGAAGGGUAGUCAUAACCAUAUGGGAAUAUUUUACCACAAUAGAAUCUAUAAUGGUCUAGUGAGGCAAGGUUUAAAUGGAGAGGAUAAUAGGCGAACAUGGAAACAACCAACAUUGUGUUUUACUUGCAUCUAGUUGUAUAGUGAGAUAAUAUUGAAACGGAGGAGGCUUAUAGGGCAACAUGAGAACACCCAAUAUGUUGCUCUACUUACUUCCUAUUGUUACCAAGGGACUGAGGCUCGAGCAUGGUUAAUCAUAACACAUGGAGAAGAUCUCUCAUACUAGUUGAUAAUAGAAUGAAUCUUGUAUGAAAAUGCUAACAAAGUAUGAGUGUGCAUAACAUGCCAUCUCCUCCCUUUCUUGUCGUAUUUUCCUUCACCAACCCCCAUAGUACCCUGAUCAGCACUAUUAAUUUGAUAUGCUUCACAUCUGAGUUAGAAUUGUGAUUGGGAAUAGUUGUAUCAUUAUCUAAGUAGACUUCUUCAAGGGGAAAUAAUGGACGUGUCUUAUCUAUUAUAGCCACAUUCCGGAUAGGAAUAAAAAAGUAGACAUAACAAGAUAAUUUGUUGAGAUUUGAAUCGAAAAUACAACAUACAUCAACUAUUCUACAUGUAAAUCAAAUCCUCAUCCUACAUCGGCAUUCGGCUUUAGUUCGACUACCACUUUAUGGACAAGCCGUGUGGUCCAUGUGGUCUACGUCACAAAGGCCAGACGACAAGGAGAAAAUAGUUGUCGAUGAUUGAUCAUUGAAGUUAUUUGUCAAGAAAUUUUUCCCCGACAUGGUUCAUUUAAUUCAUUAUUUAGUAUUUGAUAUCGGUUCUAUGCUCUAAUGUGUAACCUUCUUCUCACGAUUUGGGUCUAGCUAUCAGUGGUCAUGAGUUCAUUACUUAUGUUAACUACUAUUGUUGUGUCCACUUGUUCGCCAAGAGACUAUAAAGUUAACUUAUAUCCUCCCGUAUUUAUAUUAAUAUAGUUUGUGGUUAGGUAAUCCUUGACCUUGAAUAUUACUCACAUUUGUCAAAUAGGAGGCCAAGCUGGAACUGUCUAGUGCAUCAUCUGUGGUCACAUAUGGUGUAUUGCCUAUUCUAAACCCAAUGAGUAUUACAUUAUGGCAUGUGCCUGCGAGGAGGAACUGAGUUACUCUUUUAUGUCUAGGGGAGACGGCAUGCCUAAUAAUUCUCAAUGAAAAAUUAUAGCCUACAUCAAAAGUCUAACCCAAGAAAGUGAAUAUGUGCCAUUGUAGUUUUACAACACUAAGGGUGUGUUCUGAUCUUGUCGUGCUCCACGCUUCCCAAAUUCCUGGAGCAGAUACGAGCCGAACGAAAUAGCAGCGAGAAGCUAACUCCAGGAAGCUAGGAUUGACCGCAGCGCAAAAUCAUGAAGCAGACUCGGCCCAGCUCCACCAAUCCGAAAAGCUGAAGUUGGCCGAUAUUACAAGUAAACUGCCACAGCCAAGUCAUACGAGUCGAACCGGUACGCUCGAUCUGUUUGAUCGCUCCUCGUUCCCUCGCUCGUGCUCCCUCGCUGCUCCUCUACAAGGCCGAUUUGGGUUGCCUCCAGUCAGCCCAACUAGCUCGAACAGGCCACAACCCUUCUAGCUAGGUUGCAGUGCCGCGAGAAGCUGCAAACCGAGCCAAACGGAUUUUUCAUCGCUGCUUGGAGUGAGAAGCUACUCUGAAUAGGUGAAUUUCUGAAGUUUUGGGAAGCUAGAGGAGAUCAGAAAAGGCCCUAAGUCAUCGGUAUUUCAUAAUUGAAUGUUCUCCAUGUCGUGACUUCUGAUGGUGUAAACCCAAAUAAUUGCCAUUGUGAAAUUAAGUUCCUUUCGUGAGUCAGAACCCACAUCCGUAAAGAUGUGCCACUACAAUCCACCUCAUGGCUAUCUUGGAGUCCUUAAUAUAAUCAAGUGUGCCCAAUAUGGUGACUUAAUAUGUACUUAUUGACCCUACGAAGCUAAUCGCCUCCAUCAAGACCCCUUCCUGGUUCUCCUAUAACUAGAUUCCUCGAAACCACGAGAAUCCUUACAAUGGGAUAACAACUUAGCACCUUUCGUUUUCACAUAGUAAGAAGAGUUGCUCCUUGGAUAGCACGGUACGAUCAAAGGUGUAACCUGUGUUUUGGAGCGAGUUAUUGUCUCGAAACUUUGUUCUCAACUAUUCCGAAUCCAGCAAACGGAGGCCAUUGGGUCAAAGCUGUAGCGCACGCCCUGUAGUUUUCAAGUGGGGCGAGACAACUUAGCUAGGAACCUAUUUUCAUUCUGACCAGCUCCCUGAAAACAAUGUUCGACUUCAUGUGUAGUCGGUGUAGAUGUGUCAUUGCAAUUCCACCACUAGGAUAUCACCAAGUCCUAUGUAUUACAUGUCAACAUAUGCCACCAUAUGGUUACUUGACAAAUUAAAUGGAUUUCACCAAGAUUUCAUGUUACAAUUAUAGUGAAGAUAGUGACUCACAUGUCAGCCUCCCUGACGGGAAGCAAAAUCACUCUGACUUUGGCAACCUAAUUCUUGGCGGGUUCAAGCAAACAUGUUGGAUUUGUAUUUUAUUUAUUUCAACAUAUAUAAUUCAUAUAAAUAAAUCAAUUCAUAAUAGGAGUCUUGGAGACACCCAUGUCAAUAAUGUGAAAUUAUGGGAAAUCUUAUUAUGUGCAUCAACAUAAGCCAAAACUCGUGGCUUAAGAGAUAUGUUUACAAUCUUCCAAUGGUUAUUCCCCCUACUAAAUUCAUGAUGUUAACUAGUUCCCAUAAGUUGAGAAAGAAGUUUAGUCAUGGGAUCAAUGUCCAGUGCAUCAUAUUUCCAGUUCCCAAAAAAAAUUAUUAUGGAAGUUGAGAAAGAAGUUUGGGCAACAUAUUUCCAGACACCUGUCAUGUCUAGGAUCUUCUCAAGCCUAGGUAAGCUUAGUCACGGGAUCAAUGCAGGCUAUUAGUACAUUGACCCGGUUCUUAAUUCAAGUCCUCCUUGCUAGAUACAAUAUUGAAUGGAAAGUACAUAAUCAAUUUAUUUAAGUGGGUGAACAAUGUUGGCUAGUAUAUUUCAACACUCACCUCACAUGCAUCUUUUAGAGGCAUAUAAUGCAUCGUGAUGGAAACAUUUUUUCUAUAGACUAAAUUCCAAUGGAAAAUUUUAAUUAAUUUAAUUAGUAGCAAUCUCGUAUGGUAAGGAUAUAUGGCAAAUGAAAAUGAGGGCUUAAAUGCUACUUGUUGGCACACAAAAGUCAUGUUGUCUUUUUCCUCCCAUGUUGAUCCUUUGUGGUUUGACAUUAGGCAUUCCAAAGAGAACAAGUUAUCUUUACACACCUCUAGAGCUACUAGACCCUGGAUGUUCCACCAUGAAUGUCCAUAUGGUGCAAUGAGUGAUAGCGAGCUAUAUUAGAACAUAUAGUUUACACCGUUAAAGUAAUUAAAUGGGCUAUUUUGGCUACUAUGAAAAAUAGUAUUUUAAGAGAAAACUAUGUAAGAGUUUGUGAUCUUUGUAUGUAAAAGCAUUAUUUGCCUUUGCUUGGUGUUCACGCAGUUUGAUUUAUGGCAAAAAUGUAAAAUCAUGGGACAAUAAUUGUUGAUAUUCUUUGCGGAGAAAGCGAGAUCUUUCCACUUUUCAGAUCACACAAAGUAUUGUUUUUCUUAUAGGGGUGAUAUACAGUGUUCUAAAUCUGCACUUGUGAUUCGUUGUCCAUUUAAAUUUAAAUGGUUUCUUCCACAGAUUAUGUUGGUUUGUUGUUGUAUUUAUCUCAGCACUAAAGUAUACUGAUGUUAGCUAAGUCCAAUCAAAGGCCCAUGUUUUUAUCAUGUUAUGCAAAUUAGUAAGCUAAGAUCUUACCAAACUCAAGUUACAUAAGCCCAGACUACGUGAAAUACACAUCAUGCAGUACACAUGUUCAUCUUAGUGUUAUGUUAUACUUGGCUUCGAGAUAACAAAUGGUAUCAAUUAUUACUAUCUUUUGCAGCUUGUUUCUGCCUGGUCAUCGUAGAAUUAUCUUAUGUGGUCUCCCAAGGUUCAUGCAACUUGGAUUUUCAUACUUUGGUAGUAUUAGUGUUCACUAGGACUAGGUGCCACUCUGUAGAAGCUAAGGAUACAGAUGGAGAAAGUAGUCAUGGUUUUUUUUUUCAAAAAGUUUGUUCAUAUCUAUAAGAGGUUUAUGAUUUUUCAGUGUAUACUGUUGUGAAACCUAGAGUGUUUUAUCUCAUUUAACAUUGAACUACGCUUUCAAGGAAAAACCUUCAUUUGACAUCGAACUAUGCAUGCAGGGCAAACACCCCGUGCUUCGUUGCCACCGCGCCGCGAACCCUGGGAGCUUGAACCUGGAUGGGUGUGAACUUAAGAUUGAUGUCAAUGUUAGGGGUCAGUCAUUGAUAGAGAAUAAAGGGGACUUUGCGAAACUGUUAUUAAUAAUAUGGAUGAAACAUUGCCUUGUGGAGAGAAUAAGAUAUUUCAAGAGAUAUUUAUAAAUGGAUGCAUACUUGCAAUAGCAGUACAAAAUAUGAUGCUAACAUUUUAUUUUCAUUGUUGUUCCCAUUAAACUUCUGGUGGUGGCUCCAUUAUUCACAGCCUCGCACAUGAAAAUGUUAUUUCGUUCGGGUAAAUGUUGCGUGUCGUUGCUCCUGUAGUUUUGCGGUUUGCAUGUCCUUGAAACUUGUGAAUUGGAUUUUGCGAAGUUGCAAUGCAAAUUUGGGAUGCAGGGAAGAUAAUAAACAAUGCUUUCUAAGAGCAUUGGAUAUUGGAUGCGACUCAGAAAGAACGCAUGCAAACGCAAGAUGCAAGACGUAGUAGGCACAUGUCCAGGUUUAUUAAGAGCAUCUACACCGGACGCCUCAUAUCUGUCACAAACGCAAAAUUGCCGGUCAGCACUAGGACGCAAAAUUGCCACCCAACAGGAUCUGUCAAACCCGGCCCAAACGUCUAGACAUGACCGCACUCCCCAUAUCCAGCCCAUAUCUCGGACGGAUAUGUGGAAGCCCAGAGACGCCCGGACACACCCGCCAUGUAGGAUCCGGCCGAGUGCGGCCCACCCGACCCUACAUAAAUUGGACCCUAUCCGCACUCCGAGCGAAACCCAAGCGGCAUUCAACUCCACUCUACUCCUCGCCAGGCCACUCCCGUCCACCCACAAGCCCCAUUUGCGAAUCUCCCACCAUUUCGAGCCGUUGAACCGGAGAUCGUCCCACGCGGCCCCAAGGAGGAGAUGGUCGACUGCCGUGCGCUUCUCCACUACCGGAGGAGUCCGCCCAGCAGCGGUCGAAAUCCAUCUGGUGGGAAUCCAUUGCGUCUGCCACAAUGGAGCAUGGAUCCCGCCCGAGGGCAGUCUACGCUGCCUUAGCAGAGGCAGUGCACUCCGUCUGGCGUCCGAACGCCGUGGAGGAUACGCAACCACUUUGUUGGCGCACUGAGAAAGAUAUGCACACCCGCUUAACGUCUGAUAUUAAUAUGGUGUGUGGCGCAUCCACCGUGUUAGGCAAUGGGCGGGGGAACCCGCGGCAGCCCUCGUGCCAGACGCCAGCGGGGCAGACUCGCACUCUUCGGUGCCUCGUAUCGUGCCCGGCAGCCCUUGGCGCCGAAAUCAUGUCGUGUUGGAUGCGGCCGGCUCCACCAUCAUGGAUCAAUCAUCGACCUCACAUCCACCGACGACGGGAGAGCACGGGCUCCGACGAGAAAGAGUAGGCCAUGGGAGAUGGCGCCGAAUCGAGUUUCUUUUGCCGGGUCGUGUCCCAUGUCCUACUCUACCUCACCAGAGACCGACCCUCCACUUUGACAGGCUCAGACAGCCAUCGGACAUGGACAGUUUAUGAACAACAAGGACAGUCGCUGGCACAAAUUUAGACUACAGCCGUCGACGCGAGGUAAGUGCGGCAUGAGUUAAUCGCUGAAGAGGUUGGGCCGUUGUCGCCGGUUUGUCGUACAGUUGCCGACAUAGUCGUCCAUGACCACCAGAUCGACGCCGCCGUCACUGCAAGUCUAGGCGUCUCUGUAGUGGCUGAAGUCAUUUUAGUGUAUUUUCUUUGUAUUGUGAUUAUUGCAUACUGUGUUGUGUAUUGUGGCGUAUUUUCUUUGUAUUGUGAUGAUUGUAUACAGUACAAUGUAUUGUGGCAUAUUUUUUGUGGUCUAUUUUUAAAAAGAAAACUAUAAAUAGCUAAAAGUGGGGUGCAGAAUAAAUUUAUACCCGCCACUACAAAACAAAUGCCAGUACUGACACAUAUUUUUGCCCACCAUUAAUAGUAAUGACCCCCACUGCUACAAGAUCGAGGUCGAUGGCGGGCUGUUUGUAACGCCCGCCACUGUUAUAGUCAUUGGCAGGUGGAGCGCCCGCCACUAAUGCCAUGUUGCCAGUGGCAGGCGCCUCUGAGAGCCUUACCCGUCAUUACUAGGCUUUUGAUGCCGCCACUGCUACGCAUUCCUGCGAUAGUGUGCAAUUGCAUAUCUAGUAGAACAUAUACAACUAUCCUCCCAACAAACAGUUUCGUUCUACCAUGAAGUUAUAGUCGGGGUGAAGACAUUCAUUUAUAAUUGGAAGUGACGUUGCAGUUGCAUAUCAAGUAGGAGAUAUUUAACUGCCCUAAUGACAAAACACUUUUGUUCCCUGAGUUACAGUCGCAUUGGAGACAUGCAUUAGCGAAAUGGCACCACCUGUAGUUGCGUGUUUGGAGUUAGACAUGCAACUAGCUCCACAAUAAUAAUCUGAAUUUUAAGUUUUAAUGAAUUUUAAAUUAAAGAAAAAAGAAAAGAUGAGGAUAUAAAAACAGAAAUAGAGAAAACAAACAAUAGGAAAAAUCCUAAAAAAGGCAAAAACAAAGAAAGGAAAAACCUGUUUGAAGUUUCUAGAAGCUUCAUAAAACCAGUAGAAAGAGUCCUACAUGGGGCGGCCCACUCACACAUGUAAAAAGAGGCGGGCGAGGUGUAUGUCGACUAGCUCAGAGUUGGGGAAUCCUAUUCCGCGCAUAGGUCGCUACGUAGCGACCUAGCGCGUACCCCUCGGGUUUGUGGUCCUCUUCGGGUCGGUCCAUUCCAGGUUCUUCCCCAUACCGGUUUUCAGGAAAGUUCUAGAUCUUUUUUUCUAUUUUCUUUGUUUUCUUCUAGUUUUUUCUUUCUUUUAUAUUUUAUAUAUUACUUCUUAUUUUCUUUUACUUUAAAUUUUCUUUUUUGGUGUUGCAAACAUAUUUUCAAAUUCGUAAACGUUUAUUGAAUUCAAGAACAGUUUUUGAGUUGACAAACAUAUAUCUGAAAUAAUGAACAUUUUCUAAUUCGACAAUACAUUUUAAAAUCACAAAAUAACAGAAAAAUAACUUUUGAGGACAUUUUUUAAAAAUUCUGAACAUGUUUGUCAAUCGGCCGACAUUUUUUGAAUCAAUGAACAUUUCUAUGAAUUGACAUGAUUUUUUUGAAUUGGUAAACAUUUUUUGAAUCGAUGACCAUUUUUUGAAUCAAUGAAUAUUUUUUACAUGAAUGAACAUUUUUGGAAAUUCACAAUAAUUUUUUUGAACAUUUUAAUAACUUGUUGAAUAUUGCUUGUAUCUCAACUUCCGUCCUGAUUAAUUAAAUAAAGUGGUGAUACCCAUCAAAAAAAAUAGCUACGGUUGGCACAAAAAUCGCGAUCAACGAAGGAAUAGACCUUCUCCCAGGAAGACCCGAUCAGACUCGGAAUCCCGGUUUACAAGACAUUUCGAUAAUGGUAAAACAAGACCAGCAAAGCCUCCCGCUGUGCCGACAAAUCCCGAUAGGAGCUGCACAUAUCUCGUUCUCAAGGCACACCGGAUUAUCCAAACUUCCGGUAGGCCAGCCCAGAGUUGCCCCUGGUGGCCACCGGCGGCUGGCAGGUUGGACCAACACUCACGACGAGCACUNNNNNNNNNNNNNNNNNNNNNNNNNNNNNNNNNNNNNNNNNNNNNNNNNNNNNNNNNNNNNNNNNNNNNNNNNNNNNNNNNNNNNNNNNNNNNNNNNNNNNNNNNNNNNNNNNNNNNNNNNNNNNNNNNNNNNNNNNNNNNNNNNNNNNNNNNNNNNNNNNNNNNNNNNNNNNNNNNNNNNNNNNNNNNNNNNNNNNNNNNNNNNNNNNNNNNNNNNNNNNNNNNNNNNNNNNNNNNNNNNNNNNNNNNNNNNNNNNNNNNNNNNNNNNNNNNNNNNNNNNNAAAUAAAGAUGACCCUUGAGUCUGCAGAACCCAAGGGAAAAAGGCUUAGGUAGGCAAAUGGUAAAACCAAGGUUGGGCCUUGCUGGAGGAGUUUUAUUCAAAGCGAACUGUCAAGGGGGUCCCAUAAAUCACCCAACCGCGUAAGGAACGCAAAAUCCGGGAACAUAACACCGGUAUGACGGAAACUAGGGCGGCAAGAGUGGAACAAAACACCAGGCAUAAGGCCGAGUCUUCCAUCCUUUACCAAGUAUAUAGAUGCAUUAAUUAAAUAAGAGAUAUUGUGAUAUCCCAACAUAAUCAUGUCCAUCAUGGAGCAAUCUUCAACUUCACCUGCAACUAGCAACGCUAUAAGAGGGCUGAGCAAAGCGGUAACAUAGCCAAGCAAUGAUUUGCUAGGAAUGGUGAAAAGGUUAGAGGCUGACAUGGCAAUAUGGGAGGCAUGGUAAACAAGUGAUAGGUAGCGCAGCACAGCGAUAGAACGAAGCAACUAGCAAGAAAAGAUAGAAGUGGUAUCAAGGGUAAUGGUCAUCUUGCCUGAAAUCCCGAUAGGAAGAAGAACGAGUCCAUGAAGAAGACAAACGAACGUAGUCGAACAAAUCCUCACAACUCCGGAACGAAACCGAAGCUAACGAAAGAAGCAAACCGGAAAGAAGCAAAGAACAUGGUAAACACACACACAUAAACAUGGCAUGAUGCACAAACAAGUAUGAUGCAUGUCCGGUUUAAUGAGGCAUGGCAUGGCAAAGUGCAACAAACAAUACUACAAGUUAAGUGGAGCUCAAUAUGCAACGAGUUUCAUAUUGACGAAACACCACAUCAACUAUUUAGUUCUCUCUCGUUUAGGCUAACAAACAAUAUUUAAUGUUGUUAAACAUGUCAAGAGGUGAAACAUAAUUAAACUAACUAUUUAGGCAAGUUUAAAUGAGGCCGGAAACAACAAACAACAAUUCCGGUAAAUCCCCAUAUGUCAAUUAGCAAUUUUAAAGCAAACAACAGUUUUAACCAUUUUAAAUGUUGUUAUCAUGAUGCGGAUGACAUAUGCAAGUUUUAUGCAAUUUUAUGAAAAUGUUGACAUGAGCAUGUUAUGAAGCAUUUGGUCACCAUGGCGGAACGAAAAGGGUGCCACGGCAACGAUAACGAAAAUGGUGCCACGGCAACAUAUCCGAAAAUGAUGCCACGGCAACAUAUCGGUCCCGAUAACUCGAGUGAGAUACCGAUGCAAAUGAGAAGUGUGACGUGAGCGAGUCAUGCAAGAUGGUGGGGUGAUCCCAGCUACCGGGUUCCCACGGCUUAGUGGCAUGGCAAAGAGCGACAAUUCGGACGCGGUGCACACACAAGCAUCUCAUACAACACAUAUUCAUUCGGUCCACGGUUGAUCGUCUCGGGGCUUAUACCUUCGAAGCGUGCGUUUUCGGAGCGGUUCAAAAACGUCGAGGGAAGUAGUCAUUCACGGGUCGUAGGGGAAGUAGUUGUUCACGUUCGUCUCGGAGAGGUACUUGACGAAUCCAACAUCUUCGGGGCGACGAUAGUGGUUCACGGACGUCGUGGGAAGUAGUGGAAGUAGUUGUACACGGCGACGGUAGUUGUACACACGUUGUAGUCGAACUUGACGGUCUCGGUCCUGGCGAUCCAAAGGGCACUUGGCGGUUUUGAUCGAACCGUAGUGGUACUGGGCGAGAUACACAGCCACGGUAGUCUUCGGCCUUGAUUUUCCUGCACAUGACUCCACAGGUCCUGAGGGGACUCGGCGAUGGCCAUGGCAAAGAGGCGGCGAGGCGUUGGACGGACUAACAGGCAGAGGUGGUCGUAGUAGUACUAGCUCAUGGGGAUGGCGGUCUUGGGCGGCAACAACCUGCCGUGUUGGUGCAGCAGCGGCUGCUGGAGAGGCCAUGGCUACAAGGGUGGCGAGCUCGAGCAAAUCCGACGAGGACGUCCGGGAUGGCUGGGGUUGCGAGGGAGCAGAGGUCGGCCGGUCGUGGCAGACAGCAGAGAACACCUCAGCCACGGGGAAGGUGGACGGCGGGCUUCGGAGCAAGGGGAGACAGAUGCGGGCGAGCGGAGCACGGCGGGGACGCGGGGAUGCUGAUGGCCUGCGACAGAUAGACUUUUUUAGUUCGCACUCGUGUUCGUGUUGGAGACGGACUGCUCCUUCGUGUGCGAGAUGGACGACGACGUGUUUUUUUCCUCUUCCCGGUUGAUGAUGCCCAUAUGGAGUGCGGGUUGAUUUCAUAAAAGAUGAGGGACUUGUUUGCAAAAAUGCUGCAACGGUGAACCCAGAGACCCAAUCCGUGCUUUAUUAUUAGGGAGAGAUUAGGGAAAGAUAUAUAUAUAUAUAUAUAUAUAUAUAUAUAUAUAUAUAUAUAUAUAUAUUUCUAUCAUAGCUUACUAUGGAAAUAGCUAUCAGAACCGUCGGACUCUACCUCAAGAUUCGAACCGAAGUGUGGUCCGGUUCCUUUUCUUGUUCUUUUGUUGAUUUUUGGAUGGUGUAACCCACAAACAAAAACUCAAACGACAUCCACCCUGCUAGCCCAGGCUGCCGACCUGGAACCUAUUCCCUGAUCUAAGAAGCAGAAGAAGAACUCACGCAAGCAAGCAUCGCUCACGCGUCAUGAUCAUCGCAAAACCUAUACCUGCAACUGUUGUUGUAGUAAUCUGUGAGCCACGAGGACUCAGCAAUCCCAUUGCCAUGGGUAUCAAGACUAGCAAAGCUUAAAGGGAAAGGAAGGGGUAAAGUGGUGAGGCUGCCGCAACGACUAAGCAUAUAUGGUGGCUAACAUACGCAAAUAAGAGCGAGAAGAGAGCAAGCAGAACGGUCGUGAAGCUAGCAAUGAUCAAGAAGUGAUCCUGAACUCCUACUUACGUCAAACAUAACCCAGAAACCGUGUUCACUUCCCGGACUCCGCCGAGAAGAGACCAUCACGGCUACACACGCGGUUGAUGCGUUUUAAUUCGGAUCUGGUGUCAAGUUAUCUACAACCGGACAUUAACAAAUUCCCAUCUGCAUAUAACCGCAGGCACGGCUUUCGAAAGAUUAUACCCUGCAGGGGUGUCCCAACUUAGCGCAUGACAAGCUCUCGCGAUCAACGAAGGAAUAGACCUUCUCCCAGGAAGACCCGAUCAGACUCGGAAUCCCGGUUUCUAAGACAUUUCGACAAUGGUAAAACAAGACCAGCAAGACCGCCAGAUGCGCGGACAAUCCCGAUAGGAGCUGCACAUAUCUCGUUCUCAGGGCAACACCGGAUGAGCAAUCCGUACAACUAAAAGCAGACCUCAAAUUUCCCUGAGGGGGUGCUGUAAAGGGCUCUAGUGCGGACCAACACUUAGACAAGCACUGGCCUGGGGGGGCUAAAAUAAAGAUGACCCUCGGGAUGCGCCACUCCCAAGGGAAAAAGGGGUAGGUGAGGCAAAUGGUAAAACCAAGGUUGGGCCUUGCUGGAGGAGUUUUAUUCAAAGCGAACUGUCAAGGGGGUCCCAUAAAUCACCCGACCGCGUAAGGAACGCAAAAUCCAGGAACAUAACACCGGUAUGACGGAAACUAGGGCGGCAAGAUUGGAAUAAAACACCAGGCAAAAGGCCGAGUCUUCCACCCUUUACCAAGUAUAUAGAUGCAUUAAUAAUAUAAGAGAUAUUGUGAUAUCCCAACCAAAAUCCUGUCCACCAUGGAGAAAUCUUCAACUUCACCUGCAACUAGCAACGCUAUAAGAGGGGCUGAGCAAAAGCGGUAACAUAGCCAAACAACGGUUUGCAUAGGAAAGGUGCCAAAGGUUAGAGGUUCAUGGCAAUAAGGGAUGGCUGGAUAAAUAGGUGAUAGGUAACGCAGCAUAGCGAUAGAACGAAACAACUAGCAUAGCAAUGAUAGUAGUGAGAUCCAGGGUAGCAGUCAUCUUGCCUGAAAUCCCGCUAGGAAGAAGAAACGAGUCCAUGAAGAAGACGAACGGAUGAAGCCAAACCAAGCGUAGACGAACGAAUCCUCACGAUCGCAACGAAACAGGAACUAUCGAAAAGAAGCACACAACAUAGUAAACACACCACACAUGAACAUGACAUGAUGCACAACAAACAUGAUGCAUGACAAAGCUACAUGAAGCUACUCAUGGCAAGAGAUGAUGCAAACAAGAACAACACAACAAGGCAAGUUUAAAUGAGGCCGGGAACAACAUAUAACAAUUCCGGUAAGUCCUCAUAUGCAUAUUUCGAAAUUGGUCCAGAUCUGAAUAAACCUUAUGUUCAAGUUGUUAAACAGCAAGUUAAGAUGCAACAAGAUGAUCUACACGAGAUUCUAGUCAAGUUACUUAUAAAGUUCAUUUAGUUCGGAGCUACGGCCUAAGAGAUAUGAGGAAAACAAGUUAAACAUGGCAUUGAUGCAAAAUGCACCCAAACAUCAAGCAAACACACCAAAACAAGGAUGCAACAUGAUAAUAUGAAACUACAUGCAAAAUCAAGCAAGUUUCAUAUAGAGCACACUCAAAACGGAGCAACGGUUCAACACACUCACACUAAACAAGUCAUAGCAACAAUCUGUCCAAAACAGCAACUAGGCAUAUUGCAAGCAUCAAAACAACAUGCUACGGGACCUCAACAAGAAAACAAAAGGCAUGGGCAUGAUGUACAGGUAAAUCAUUACAAAACAUGAACACUGAGCUAUCUCCAGAAAUCACUAGAAAAUGCUCAAACACACAUGGUAAGAUUGCAAGUUAUAACAAUUUCAGACUUUGCAGAAAAUAACAUCACGAUGCAAUGUUUAGAGCUAUCACACAAUAUGUUACAGGAACUUAUCAUGGCAAACAAAGGCAUGGCAUGAAUCUACUAAUUGCAUAGAUCAAAAGUCCCUUAGUGACCUUAAGCCAAAAAGGACCAGAAAAUAUGAUGGCACCCACGUAAAUAUAGCAAGUUAUUAUACAGAUUCAAACAUGGCAGAAACAGAAUUAUGAAGGCGUGUAGAUGAGCUUGUGCAACUCACUACAGAUCAUUACAUGGCAUUGCAAGGCACCCAACAGUAAGAAGGCAUGUUUGUGAAGCUAAGCAUGGCAAUAGCAAGGUCAUAGGGUUCAUGGAACACUAGCAAAACACAUGGAAACAAGUGAACUUAAUGUUAACAGGCUGACAGCAACAUUAUGAAGCAACUUUGGAGCAAGCUAUGAACAAGCUACAGCAAGCUAUAAAUGCAAACAGGGCAUGGAUGGAUAUAGCAUGACAUGUAGAACAAAACACAUUUAUAGAACAUCUCCAGAUUAUGCAUAGAAUGAUUUGUAGAAGCAUGUUUAUAUAGCAUCACGAAAUAAUAGAUUCAGCCUAGCAAAACAACAUCAUGUACCCUACUUAACAAGCUCGAUUCACUCACCACAAGUCAUUGCAUGACAAGAUAAGCAUAGCAUCAUCAAGAAGACAUGUUUGUGAAGCAAACCAAGUCAAGAACAAGUCCAUAGCAUGCAAGGAUCAACUACACAACCUUGGCUAAAUUGAAUGACAAGUAAACAAUCUGCCAGGAAACAUUUUGAAGCAAAAGUAGAGCACUCAAAUGACAUGCUAGACUACUCCAUAAUUGCAACCAAGGGCAUGAAUGGAUAGACAAUAACCAUAUGUUCAAAACAUCCUUACUGAAGUAUCUCAAAAUAUGCAUGGAUCUCUCUGUAGCAUCAAGUAUAUAUGGCAUCAAAAUAACAGCAGAACAGGGAGUAAAAUCAGUAACAUCACGAUGCCUAGUUUGCAUGCUUGUGCUAGUCACCACAUUGAUCACAAAAAUACAUGGUAAGCACCUCUGUAAAGAAGACAUGGCAUAGAUCAAAACACAUGUAGACAUCAACCUCAUAGGAUGCACACAUCAAUCAUGGCAAAAAUGACAAAAGAGCUCGUUUUGGUAACAGACAGCAGAAAACAUUAUGAAGCACUCUUACAACGAUGAUUCAGGCAUCAAGAUGACCUCAAAUGAAUAUAAUGCAAUGGAAUGAAAUGAUGUACUCGUCGAGGCGAACAAUUUGACAUAUUACACGCACGAAACGGAGCUACAGAUGCAGAGAUACAGCAGGUCAAACAUGGCAUGAAAAUUACACAGAUUCAGGGACUUAGGCAAAAUUAUAACUCGCGAAAAGUCAACCCGGGACGAGGACGUUCUGGGAUGGAGGGAUCCAGGACGGGGGCGCCGUUUGGUUGGUGGGCCUGGUGGAUCUCAUCCACUCGUGGCGGAUCUGGCCGGAGGAGAGCUCCGGCGAGCUCUCCGGCGAGGCACGGUCGACGAGGGGCGAGGUGGGACGGCGGGGAUCCGCGACGGAGGCGCGCAGGGGCUCGGGAUCCGGAGGGGCGAGGUCGGCGGGGGAGCUCCNNNNNNNNNNNNNNNNNNNNNNNNNNNNNNNNNNNNNNNNNNNNNNNNNNNNNNNNNNNNNNNNNNNNNNNNNNNNNNNNNNNNNNNNNNNNNNNNNNNNNNNNNNNNNNNNNNNNNNNNNNNNNNNNNNNNNNNNNNNNNNNNNNNNNNNNNNNNNNNNNNNNNNNNNNNNNNNNNNNNNNNNNNNNNNNNNNNNNNNNNNNNNNNNNNNNNNNNNNNNNNNNNNNNNNNNNNNNNNNNNNNNNNNNNNNNNNNNNNNNNNNNNNNNNNNNNNNNNNNNNNNNNNNNNNNNNNNNNNNNNNNNNNNNNNNNNNNNNNNNNNNNNNNNNNNNNNNNNNNNNNNNNNNNNNNNNNNNNNCGCGGUGGCUGGCGGCGGAGAGGCCACGUGGCGCCUCCUAAUUGGCUGCAAGCGGCGGCGGACGCGUCCGGCGACGAGAUGGACAUGUCCGGCGCGGCGCGGAGGGGAAAAACUAGGGUUAGGGUGGAUUUGAUCCGCGAAUUUCGGGGGGAGGGGCUUAUAUAGUUUCUGGGAGCUAGGAGAGUCCAAAUGAGGAGCGGUUGAAAUAAUUUACAAAAGACUGAAGAGGUUCCGCACGAAUGAGAUAGAUGGUCGAGAGAGAGUCAGACUCCGGGAAGAAAAGGGUGGGAGGGCAGGAAAACAAAGGCAACUUGGAAGGGGGAACGACGAAUAUCUUGAAGAGAAAACUCCGGUUGAAAUCAUUGCGGAAAGAAAGCAAAGACUUCGCACGAGUAGGAUGGAUACUCGAUUACGGACUCCGGCUUCGAGAAGAAAAGGGGAGGGCGGGUGGGAAAAGAAAACAACUGAGGAUUGAACUUGCAAAGAUGAAGAGGGUCAAGUCAACUUGACGAGAAAUGCACCGGAUGAAAAGAGCUGAGGAACAACGAUCGAAAAACCAACUGCGUGAUCCUAAAGAAAAAUUUGAAGGGGAAGAGGAGUAAUUCAAAUCACCUACGUCAAGAUUCCUCACCAGAGCGACGAAGGGGCUGAGGAGUAAAAAGAAUUCCUACUCUCCGAUAUAACUAGACUCCGAAAACAGUUUUAUUCUAGACUCAACAUCGGCCAAACUACACGAUCAAUCAAGGGGGCUCCUAGGGUCGGUCGAGGCUCUGAUACCAACUUGUCACGCCCAAUAUGCGACCCUAUCCAAAAGGAACUCGAAGAUCCCACCAAGAAUAGGCCCGCAUAUUGAAACGCUUUUGCAAGGUGGAUAUCAUUACAUCAACAUUACAUAAUAUAUGGGGAAACAGACAUAAGGCAUACAAUGCACACGAAUACAACAUCACAAUACAUCAAAGCAUCAUCCAACUACGGAUGAAAUACAAACAGAAACUCAAACGACAUCCACUCUGCUAGCCCAGGCUGCCGACCUGGAACCUAUCCCUGAUCAAAGAAGAAGCAGAAGAAGAACUCCAAAACAAGCAACAUCGCUCUCGCAUCAUGAUCAUCGCACCACCUGUACCUGCAACUGUUGUUGUAGUAAUCUGUGAGCCACGAGGAAUCUGCAAUCCCAUUACCAUGGGUAUCAAGACUAGCAAAGCUUAAAGGGAAAGGAAGGGGUAAAGUGGUGAGGCUGCAGCAGCGGCUAAGCAUGAUAUGGUGGCUAACAUACGCAAAUAAGAGCGAGAAGAGAGCAAGCAGAACGGUCGUGAAACUAGCAAUGAUCAAGAAGUGAUCCUGAACUCCCACUUACGUCAAACAUAACCCAGAAACCGUGUUCACUUUCCGGACUCCGCCGAGAAGAGACCAUCACGGCUACACACGCGGUUGAUGCGUUUUAAUUCGGAUCUGGUGUCAAGUUAUCUACAACCGGACAUUAACAAAUUCCCAUCUGCCUAUAACUGCAGGCACGGCUUUCGAAAGAUUAUACCCUGCAGGGGUGUCCCAACUUAGCCCAUGACAAGCUCUCGCGAUCAAAGAAGGAAUAGACCUUCUCCCAGGAAGACCCGAUCAGACUCGGAAUCCCGGUUUACAAGACAUUUCAACGAUGGUAAAACAAGACCAGCAAGACCGCCCGAUGCGCCGACAAUCCCGAUAGGAGCUGCACAUAUCUCGUUCUCAGGGCACACCGGAUUGUCCAAACUUCCGGUAGGCCAGCCCAGAGUUGCCCCUGGUGGCCACCGGCGGUUGACAGGUUGGACCAACACUCACGACGAGCACUGGCCCGGAGGGGAUAAAAUAAAGAUGACCCUCGAGAGCGCGACUCCCAUGGGAAAAAGGGCUAUGUGAGGCAAAUGGUAAAACCAAGGUUGGGCCUUGCUGGAGGAGUUUUAUUCAAAGCAAACUGUCAAGGGGGUCCCAUAAAUCACCCGACCUCCCCGGCGAUCCUCGAAAUCCGUGCACGAGUUGACUUUCUCACCCUCGAGGUUGAAUUUUCUGCUAAGUCCCUAUAUUUUGUUAUUUUCAUGCCAUGUUCGUCAUGCUGUAUCUCUGCAUCCGUAGCUCCGUUUCAUGCGUGUAAUAUGUCAAAUUGUUCGUCUCAACGAGUACAUCAUUUCAUUCCAUUGAAUCAUGUUCAUUUGAGGUCAUCUUGAUGCCUGAAUCAUUGUUGUAAGAGUGCUUCAUGAUGUUUUCUGCUGUCUGUUAUCAGAACGAGCUCUUUUGUCAUUUUUGCCAUGAUUGAUGUGUGCAUCUUAUGAGGUUGAUGUCUACAUGUGUUUUGAACUAUGCCAUGUGUUCUUUAUAGAGGUGAUUACCAUGUAUUUUUGUGAUCAAUGUGGUGACUAGCACAAGCAUGCAAACUAGGCAUCGUGAUGUUACUGAUUUUAGUCCCUGUUCUGCUGUUAUUUUGAUGCCAUGUAAACUUGAUGCUACAGAAAGAUCCAUGCAUAUUUUGAGACACUUCAGUAAGGGUGUUUUGAACAUGUGGUUAUUGUCUAUCCAUUCAUGCCCUUGGUUGCAAUUAUGGAGUAGCCUAGAAUGUCAUUUUCGUGCUCUACUUUUGCUUCAAAAUGUUUCCUGGCAGAUUGUUUACAUGUUAUUCAAUUUGGCCAAGGUUGCUAUAGUUGAUCCUUGCAUGCUAUGGACUUGUUCUUGACUUGGUUUGUUUCACAAACAUGUAUUCUUGAUGAUGAUAUGCUUAUCCUAUCAUGCAAUGACUUGUGGUGAGUGAAUCGAGCUUGUUAAGUAGGGUACUUGAUGUUGUUGUUUUGCUAGGCUGAAUCUAUUAUUUCGUGAUGCUAUAUAAACCUACUGCUACUAUGGUCAGUAAAGGACUUUUGAUCUAUGAAAUUAGUAGAUUCAUGCCAUGCCUUUGUUUGCCAUGAUAAGUUCCUGUAACAUGUUGUUUGAUAGCUCUAAACAUUGCAUCGUGAUGUUAUUUUCUGCAAAGUCUGAAAUUGUUAUAACUUGCAAUCUUACCAUGUGUGUUUGAGCAUGUUCUAAUGAUUUCUGCAGAUAGCUCAGUGUUCAUGUUUUGUUGUGCUUUACCUGUACAUCAUGCUCAUGCAUUUUAUUUUCAUAUUGUGGUGCUGUAGCAUAUUGUUUUGAUGCUUGCAAUAUACCUAGUUGCUGUUUUGGACAGAUUGUUGCUUUCACUUGUAUAUGGUGUGUGUGCUGAACCGUUGCUCCGUUUUGAGUGUGCUCUAUAUGAAACUUGCUUGUUUUUGCAUGUAGUUUCAUAUUAUCAUGUUGCAUCCAUGUUUUGAGGUGUUUGCUUGAUGUUUGAGUGCAUUUUACAUCAAUGCCAUGUUUAACUUGUUUUGCUCAUAUCUUCUAGGCCGUACCUCCGAACUAAAUGAACUUUAUAUGUAACUUGACUAGAAUCUCGUGUAGAUCAUCUUUGUGCAUCUUAACUUGCUGUUUAACAACUUGAACAUAAGGUUUAUUCUGAUCUGGACCAACUUCGAAAUAUGCAUAUGAGGACUUAUCAGAAUUGUUAUAUGUUGUUCCCGGCCUCAUUUAAACUUGCCUUGAUGUGUUGUUCUUGUUUGCAUCAUCUCUGGCCAUGAGUAGCCUCAUCUAGAUUUGUCAUGCAUCAUGCUUGUUGUGCAUCAUGUCAUGUUCAUGUGUGGUGUGUUUACUAUGUUGUGUGCUUCUUUUCGAUAGUUCCCGUUUUGUUGCGAUCGUGAGGAUUCGUUCGUCUAUGCUUGGUUCUUCUUCGUGGCUUCAUCUUCUUCAUGGACUCGUUCUUCUUCCUUGCGGAAUUUCAGGAAAGAUGACCGCUACCCUGGAUCUCACUACUAUCAUUGCUAUGCUAGUUGCUUCGUUCUAUCGCUAUGCUGCGUUACUUAUCUCUGCUCAUCAAGCCUCCCAUAUUGCCAUGAACCUCUAACCUUUGACACCUUUCCUAUGCAAACCGUUGUUUGGCUAUGUUACCGCUUUUGCUCAGCCUCUCUUAUAGCGUUGCUAGUUGCAGAUGAAGUUGAAGAUUUCUCCAUGGUGGACAGUGUUUUUGUUGGGAUAUCACAAUAUCUCUUAUAUUAUUAAUGCAUCUAUAUAGUUGGUAAAGGGUGGAAGACUCGGCCUUAUGCCUGGUGUUUUGUUCCACUCUUGCCGUCCUAGUUUCCGUCAUACCGGUGUUAUGUUUCCGGAUUUUGCGUUCCUUACGCGGUUGGGUGAUUUAUGAGACCCCCUUGAUAGUUCGCUUUGAAUAAAACUCCUCCAGCAAGGCCCAACCUUGGUUUUACCAUUUGCCUCAUAUUUCUAUCAUAGCUUACUAUGGAAAUAGCUAUCAGAACCGUCGGACUCUGCCUCAAGAUUCGAACCGAAGUGUGGUCCGGUUCCUUUUCUUGUUCUUUUGUUGAUUUUUGGAUGGUGUAACCCGGCCCACGUGCUGACAACUUUACAGAUGGAGUAAAGACAGGGCCUGCCCCAUGUGGUUCUGACUCGUUCUUGGACCAACUCGUCGGUCACGGACGUGUGCAAUGGAGGUUCCACGCCGUCCAUUGAACUUUUUUUAGCAUCAGUAGGCGCCUCGUCGUCGAUGGGAACGUCUUCUCCCACUGGAAGCGCAUCGCCGGAAAUUCUGAAAUAAAUCCAGAAAUAAUGCGAGCACCAGGAUUUGAACCCUGAUGGAUUAGGGAUAUCACUGUCCACCUAACACACUCAACCACAGGUUGAUUCGCUCACUGUCCAUUGAACUUGCAUACCGGUUCCUGCUGCUCGUGAGCCUCGUUACGGCCAGUUCCUUCGUCGCAUGACACCUUUUUUUUCCAGUUGCCACGUCGCGUUCCUUUUCCAUCUCUUUGGCGAAUUUUGUGUUGAUAAAAGCCUGUGUUGAGUCAGUACAGCACAGGUUCGGAGGUUCCGCGCCCUCAUAAAAUGAACGUGUAGGUUCUGUCGUAUAUAAUACUACCAUAGUACAUGAUUUUCCCUACAUAUACGUAGCCGGCGUGCAGGAGUGUCAGAACCUUCAAUGCAUGCACUGUAUCAGUGUCAUACACAUGCAAUAGGACAAAUUUUUUAAGCACAAAAGGAUGGAUAGUUUAAUGCAACCCCUCAUAUGGACAUACAGGCAGCUUAAUUCGUGCCGUGCUCCUACAGGUAAAUAUACUACCUGUAAUCGCAAUUGAAUAUGAAAAAAAAACAGUCGAUUCAACGUUUCAUGAAGACUCGUUUGGCACCACUCUUGGAUUUGAUGAUACUUCGUGGCAACCAACUCCCUCCUGUCGGUUCUUUUAUGAAGACUCGUUCGAUACCGCCCUUGAAUUUGACGGUUCUUCGGGGUGACCAACUCCCUCCUAUCGGUUCUUUUGUGAAGACUCGUUCGGCAUCAUCCUUGAAUUUGACAUUUCUUCGGGGCGACCAACUCGCUCCUAUCGGUUCUUUCGUGAGACUCGUUCGGCACCACCCUUGGGUUUGACGGUUCUUCGUGGCGACCAACUCCCUCUUAACUGUUCUUUUUUGAAGACUUGUUCGGCACCACCAUUGGGUUUGGCGGUUCUUUGUGGCGACCAACUCCCUCUUAUCGGUUCUUUUGUGAUGACUCGUUCGGUACUACCCUCUGAUUUGACGGUUCUCCAUGGUGACCAACUCUCUCCCAUCGGUUCUUUGGUGAAGACUCGUUCGGCACCACCCUUUGAUUUGACGGUUCUUCAUGAUGAAUAACUUCCUCCUACCAGUUCUUGAUGGCGAUGUCGGCUCUUCACAAAUUCGAUUCCAGUUGCAAGUAUAGUUUUGACGGCUCUACGGAGGUGGAAUCCGGUUCUUUGCAAAUUGUAUUCUGGUUCCAAGUAUAAUUUUGAUGGUACUGUGGAGGUGAGACAUCGGCCCUAGCGUAUUACCUUCUCACAAAAAAAGAACUUGUAUUACCUAGCGUAGUGGACACAAGCUAGUACAUACAGUUGUUUUAUACCUGAUGAAUAAUUAACUUAGCCAACACUAAUCAACUGUCUUGACAAGAUUACCUAACACAGUAGUCCCCCGUACAAGCCACGGGUCACAGCUAGGGAAGCAGGGAACGGAGACAGUGACCUCGAGGUACGGCAGUGCAUAUAUCGAAGCAUUGGCGCAUGCACAAGUGCACGCAUCUGCAGCAGUAGGGACAUACUCAUAUUAUAAUUUUCUGUGAAGCUCUAGCACCUAGUGCCCCAGCUCUGCACCAAGUCCUGAGGCCUGGAGUGUCAAUAGCUGCUUAGCCAAAAGAUCUNNNNNNNNNNNNNNNNNNNNNNNNNNNNNNNNNNNNNNNNNNNNNNNNNNNNNNNNNNNNNNNNNNNNNNNNNNNNNNNNNNNNNNNNNNNNNNNNNNNNNNNNNNNNNNNNNNNNNNNNNNNNNNNNNNNNNNNNNNNNNNNNNNNNNNNNNNNNNNNNNNNNNNNNNNNNNNNNNNNNNNNNNNNNNNNNNNNNNNNNNNNNNNNNNNNNNNNNNNNNNNNNNNNNNNNNNNNNNNNNNNNNNNNNNNNNNNNNNNNNNNNNNNNNNNNNNNNNNNNNNNNNNNNNNNNNNNNNNNNNNNNNNNNNNNNNNNNNNNNNNNNNNNNNNNNNNNNNNNNNNNNNNNNNNNNNNNNNNNNNNNNNNNNNNNNNNNNNNNNNNNNNNNNNNNNNNNNNNNNNNNNNNNNNNNNNNNNNNNNNNNNNNNNNNNNNNNNNNNNNNNNNNNNNNNNNNNNNNNNNNNNNNNNNNNNNNNNNNNNNNNNNNNNNNNNNNNNNNNNNNNNNNNNNNNNNNNNNNNNNNNNNNNNNNNNNNNNNNNNNNNNNNNNNNNNNNNNNNNNNNNNNNNNNNNNNNNNNNNNNNNNNNNNNNNNNNNNNNNNNNNNNNNNNNNNNNNNNNNNNNNNNNNNNNNNNNNNNNNNNNNNNNNNNNNNNNNNNNNNNNNNNNNNNNNNNNNNNNNNNNNNNNNNNNNNNNNNNNNNNNNNNNNNNNNNNNNNNNNNNNNNNNNNNNNNNNNNNNNNNNNNNNNNNNNNNNNNNNNNNNNNNNNNNNNNNNNNNNNNNNNNNNNNNNNNNNNNNNNNNNNNNNNNNNNNNNNNNNNNNNNNNNNNNNNNNNNNNNNNNNNNNNNNNNNNNNNNNNNNNNNNNNNNNNNNNNNNNNNNNNNNNNNNNNNNNNNNNNNNNNNNNNNNNNNNNNNNNNNNNNNNNNNNNNNNNNNNNNNNNNNNNUGGAGAUGGAGUUAUGGUGGAGGGGGCAUUAAUGGGGAGAGGACGAGAGGUAGGAGAAAGAGAGAUGUGAGAGAGGCCAUUUAUGGAGAAGAGUUAUGGUGGAGGGGGACAUUAAUGAGGAGAGAAGAGAGGUAGUAGGAAGAGAGAAGAAGAGCAACAAUGGUGGAGAGUGGAGAGGGGAAAGGAGGGGGAGAGAGGGCAAAGUGGGGGAGAGGAGGGGGAGGGGGUGAAAAGGUGGCACCAGCCGCAACUAGCAGUAGCGCUGCUUACCAAAACGCGAUGCUGCUACCGUACUUAGUAGCAGUGCUUUCCUGGAGAAGCGCUACUACUAAGUGGGGCCCAUUAGCAGUAGCGGCGCAGUAAAAUAAAGCGCUACUACUAAACUGUUAGUAGUAGUGUUGGAUUCUGCACAGCGCUGGUACUACAUCUAUCGUCGGUGGCCUCGUCUGGUCCCACGUACUAGUACCGUGUUUUUGGUUUCCAGCGCUACUGCUAUAGACAGAAUAGUAGCACUUUCCUGGAUCGGCGCUACUGCUAACUAGUAGCAGCGUUGACUAUUUUCCAGCGCUACUGCUAACUAGUAGCUGCUAACUUGUAUAAGCAUUUCCCUAGUAGUGUUAAUUUUAUUGACAGAUUGCACUUCUAGUUUCUACAGCUAGUGCUAACCGAUGAUUGAAAAAUAUAUCUACCUUAACUCUAGACAACUACAUCACAUUGUCACUGCCUAGCAGUGCUGAACCCUAGCGAUACAAAUAAAAAAAUUACAAUGGCAGUGACCUACAACAAAAGAGGGAGGGAUGAUAUGCUCACCUGGGUUGGAGCCGAGGGUUGCCUACAGUCUACUCUGUCGCCGUCAUCGUCACCUGUGGUAGAUGAGAGUGGGAGGCUCAGAUGCAAAACACACCUCUAAAUUAAAAAAAAUUCCAAAUGGACUAGAUGAGAGUGGGAGGCUCAGAUGUGUACCUCAAGACCGGAGAACGACGACAAUCGUCGGAAUCGGCCAAAAUCAAAGUGGCACGACCAGCGGCGAGAGAGGGAGAGAAAAGGGAACGAAACAGAGCAGCGGGUCACAGAGUGAGAGUGGGUUGAGGGGGUCGUUGCCCCCAUUGGUUUUGACCCCCACGGCAUUCUAAUACUAUUUGUGCUUGCCCAAUAAGAAAAAAGAUCACCACCUAGAAAUUGUCAUCUCAAAACUAUAUAUUUCAAGUCUUAAACUAAAAAGGAAAAAAAGUAAAUUUAACAAAAGUAAACUAUAAUAUACUAUUAAAAAGAUCACAGAAUAAAAAACUAAAAAAAUUUGGAAGUGUCAAAAUACAUAUUUGAAGGCUCAAAACUAUAUAUUUCAAGUCUUAAACUAAAAAGGAAAAAAANNNNNNNNNNAAAAAAAUAGUAAUGUAAGAAUGUUGGCAUUGACAGAAUAACAAUAGCGGCGUCGGUUAUAACAGCACGCCACAACUAAAUAUAAUAGUGUUGGCGUUCCAUGCUAUUCCACGACAGCGAUAUAUUACGCCUGGUACAAAUUGUUGAUCUCAUAUAUUUCUCACACUGCCUUGUUUUCGAACGCCACUACUAUGCCCCUACUAAUAUCGUACCAAAUCAGCCAACGCCAUCACUAUUUGAAAAAAAAUAGUGGUGGCGUUGGUUGUAAAUGGAGCGCCACCAACGAAAGUUGUGGCUAACCCUUUUUCCACUAGUGAAGAUUGAGGGAGGUUGUUAGAUAAUGUUUAUACGUAGCUUUCGUGUAGACACUUUAUAAUGAGAUAGCCACACCCGUAUUGGGUGUCGUUCAGUUUCCCACGAACAUAACGUUUUACAAUCCUGAGAGGCCAUCCAAGGGAGUCUGUUGUAGGCUGAUGCCGUUUUUACCCUCUCUAACUAAACCUAAAGUGGCGAAGUUACUAGCAUGUCGCCAUGUCCUUGCACUAGAGAAGGAAGUUGGGGUUUAGACGAUCGUCAUGGAGAUGGACUGAAAGAUGGUUGUGAGCAAGCUCAACUCUGAAGGGAAGGACGGAGGGAAUAGUAAGUGUAUAUUUGUUUCUAAAUAUGAAAAUAUUACUAUUAAAUACUAAUAUACCAAAGAUAUAAGAAUAUUAAAUACUAGUAUACCAAAGAUAUACCUAAAUAUAAGAAUAUUUAAUAGUAGUAUACCGAAGAUAUUCUACAGUUAAAUUCUAAUAACUCUGUUCCAAAAUAUAAGAAUAUUACUAUAAAAUACUAUUAGCUGUUUUCAAAUAAUUAGUAAUAGAGAUAAUAUUCUUUUGUCGUGAUAUAUCUUUAUUCCUCAUUAAAUAUAAGAAUAUUACUAGUAUUAAAUACUAGAAUCCCAAAGAUAUAUCUAAUAGUAUACCAAAGAUAUACAACAAUUAAAUAAUAUUACAUAUGUUCCAAAAUAUAAGAAUGUUACUACUACCUCCGUCUGGAAAUAGUUGUCAUCAAAAUGAAUAAAGGAGGCUGUAUCUAGAUGUAUUUUAGUUCUAGAUACAUCCCUUUCUAUUUGUUUUGAUCACAAGUAUUUUCGGAUGGAGGGAGUAUUAAAUACUGUCACAACUAUUCUUAUAUUUAGUAACAGAGAUAAUAGUAUUUAAUAGUAGUAUAUCAUUUUUCCUAAAUACUCCCUCCGUNNNNNNNNNNAUAUAAGAAUAUUUAAUAGUAGUAUACCGAAGAUAUUCUACAGUUAAAUUCUAAUAACUCUGUUCCAAAAUAUAAGAAUAUUACUAUAAAAUACUAUUAGCUGUUUUCAAAUAAUUAGUAAUAGAGAUAAUAUUCUUUUGUAGUGAUAUAUCUUUAUUCCUCAUUAAAUAUAAGAAUAUUACUAGUAUUAAAUACUAGAAUCCCAAAGAUAUAUCUAAUAGUAUACCAAAGAUAUACAACAAUUAAAUAAUAUUACAUAUGUUCCAAAAUAUAAGAAUGUUACUACUACCUCCGUCUGGAAAUAGUUGUCAUCAAAAUGAAUAAAGGAGGCAGUAUCUAGAUGUAUUUUAGUUCUAGAUACAUCCCUUUCUAUUUGUUUUGAUCACAAGUAUUUUCGGAUGGAGGGAGUAUUAAAUACUGUCACAACUAUUCUUAUAUUUAGUAACAGAGAUAAUAGUAUUUAAUAGUAGUAUAUCAUUUUUCCUAAAUACUCCCUCCGUCCCAAAAUUCUUGUCUUAUAUUUGUCUAGAUACGGAUGUAUCUGACACUAAAAUGUAACUAGAUACAUCCGUAUUUAGACAAAUCAAAGACAAAAAUUUUGGGAUGGUGGGACUAUAAGAAUAUUACUAUUAAAUACUAGUAUACAAAUAUAUAUUUAAUAGUAUACCAAAAUAUAAGAAUAUUUAAUAGAAAUAUACCAAAGAUAUGCUACUAUUAAUUGCUGGUAUUAAAUAAAUAAAUCUGUAGAUUAACACGCGGUCCCCACCUUGGCCUGUGCCUUCCGUUUCAGUUCAUAAAAGGCAACACAUGCUUCUCCUCCUCGCUCACAUUCUUCUCAUCCCGCUCUCCUCAACCAACUCCGUGCGUCUGCUCGACCGAUCCACCGCGAUGUCUAGCUCCGACGUCAGUGCCAUGCCCGCAGCCAACCACGAGGGGCACAGCCUGGCGGGCCCCGCCCCGCCCCCUGCGCCGGUGGUUCACAAGCGCAAGCCCGGGAGACCCCAGGAGAAAAGCCCGCCCCCAGCGGCCACCAGAGAGGAGCUGGAAUCCAGGGAGUCCCGGGAAGGACCCUUGAAGGUGCUUGCGCUCCCGGCGCCAGGGGCCCGGCGUGCUUAUGUUGUCUCAGAUGACAAGAUGGUGAGCCGCGCUCGCGCCCCCACACGGCGUGCAAGCGCGGUAUCCAACAACAAGAUGGUGAGCCGCGCUCGCUCCCCCCCCCCCUCUGCUACUAGUGAUUUGAAGUUAACCGGUGCCUAAUGAGCUGGAGUUAUUGACAAUCUUUAAUCUAGUCAUGUGAAUUAGUGCUAGUGCUUAAUGAACUACCUGAUGUGUAUGUGCAAGAAUUACGUGCUGGGUAUAUGUCCUUGGACUUUCUAAUCGCUGCGAUCUCAUCUGGCAGAUGGACAGGAACGAGAUAACGCCGGUGGUUCGCAGGCGCAAGCCCGGGAGACCCCAGGAGAAAAGCCCGCCCCCAGCGGCCAUCAGAGAGGAGCUGGAAUCCCGGGAGUCCCGGGAAGGCCCCUUGAAGGUGCUUGCACUCCCGGCGCCAGGGGCCCCGCGUACUCACGCUGUCUCCGGCGACAAGAUGAUGAGACGCGCUCGCGCCCCCACCCGGCAUGCAAACAUUGUCUCCGACGACAAGAUGGUGAGCCGCGCUCGCGCCCCCACCCUGCAUGCAAACCAUGUCUCCGAUGACAAGAUGGUGAGCCGCACUCGCUUCCCCCUCUCCUACUAGUGAUUUGAAGUUAACCGGUGCCUAAUGAUUUGAAGUUACUGACAAUCUUUAAUCUAGUCAUGUGAAUUGUACUGUAGCUUACUGAAUUACCUGAUGUGUAUGUGCAUGAACUACGUGGUGUGUAUAUGUCCUUGGAUUUUCUAAUCGCUGCGGUCUCGUCUGGCAGAUGGACAAGAACGAGAUGGCGCCAGUCCAGGGGGUGCCGCGCAUGCGAGGGAGCAUCGCGUCGUCAAGUGCGGUUGGUAAGUAUACUUUAUGCUGCUUUUUUUGUCAACAUCGUCUCCGUGCAGGCUACACUGGCAAACAAGCUGCUUAACUCUUGUGCAUGCUGGUUUUUCGUCAUCACUAGUAUACUGGUAUUGGACUGAAGCUUGUUAGCUCUGUCCAUGCUGGGUCUUUUUUUUUCAUUAUUAGUAUUGUUAUAUAUUAGCUGAAGCUGCACAUGUUUUCUUUCCAUUGACGUUGGUGCGGGCGGUGCUACGCGUCAGUCGGCCGAGGGAUGGACGCCUUACUCACCUGAUUUUAAUCAAGUCCCACCUAGGUGUAGUUUGUUUUGUCACUAGCUGUGUAUACAUAGGCGAGCUCCAGCACUAUGUUGCAGCGUGGAAAACAUAUGAACUGUAAUAAGAAACAUGCAAUGGCUAGAAAUAUCUCCACAUAUUUUUUCAGCACGUUUUAGGUGUCAACGAAAUUAGUCGGAUCGCCGGCCAUCGAAUUGACAUAUGGAGCAUUGGAUCACACUACACGGCAGCAGAGAGAAUGGAAACCGUGUUCCUCCAUAGCCUCCACAAUACAUGUGUAUCCACCACCCCUCCCACAUCGUCGCAACAGACAAUUACGUCGGCCCCUUGCAACACCUGGCUUUGGUACCCUAGAGAUCCCUGAUAUCGCUUGGAUAUCCUGCAAGUAUUAUUACAAUGCGCCAACAAGGCGUCGUCCUUGCAACAUUGUCUUACAGACAAUGUAGUUGAUGCCACCACCACCAUCACCCAUUUACACAUGGGCCGUGGCAUGUGGCACUGUUCGUGGGAUAAAACACACCCCGCGAGAAUAUGCGGUUGCACCACUAUGAUCUGUGCAUCUUAGGAAUUGUUGUGACUGCCCCUGCAAAACUAGCGAUGAUACGACCAUCGCCUUGCAACAUCGGCCAUAGUUGUAGCACAUAUGAGAAGACGGAUGCCGCACCUAACAACACAUUAUGUGUUUUUUGCACCAUAUGAAAGCACUGCCUUGCAACAUCGGCUAUCAGGGUGCUGCACCGACAAACACACUCACGACCUUGAGAUGUCGUAUGCCUUGGCCGAUGUAGCAUAGUGCUCCUCUUUCAGCAUAUAGCGAUGGCUUGUAGCAUUGAUGGUCGGAGAGUCGCAACAUCAUUGAGUGGCAGUGCUAGCCCAACUCAUUGUCAUAGAGAAAGGGGAAUAAAGGAUGGGUGUGCACGUGGUGGAAAUAAAGUGAAUGGAUAUGGUGAAGAGAGAGGAAGACUAACAGGGGCAUCUGGCGCUAGAGCGAUCUGACUGAUUUACCCCUGAAACCAGCCUGUUGAAUAUAAUUCAAUUUUCUUUUGAGAGACCUCAUAAAAACGUCGCAACAUGCGAGCAUGUCUAUACAAAAAAUUGUAGAUAUACAACGCAUACUCAUUAGCUUCAACAAAUAAGUGAAAAAACACAAUGUAUAUAGGCCUGAACCGAUGGAUCAUCAGCAUGCAUCUACCAGAUCUUCCUAGGUUACGCCCAACCGUGAGUCGUUCAAUUGGGUCACACAUCACUACCCAAUCAAACACCAACUUAGUUGUUCCUCUCGUCUCCUCUACCCACCCUUCGCAACAUACACCCAUGAUUCUCAGCAAUAGACCAACAUGGAGGCGACAAUGGUGUCCAUGAUAGGCUAGUCAAAAGCACACUGGUGAUCAACCUUACAACACUAAACAGAACAUUGCAACAUGAGGUAACCCCAACUUUGUAGCACUGGUGCACCAUUUUCAACCACCUUGUAGCAAUGAAAAGUUCACUGACCAAUAGCAUUGCUGCACCAAGUUACCGGCUUCCGGCACUGAACACACGGGCUUGCAGCACCGCGAUGAUCGAUGGUCGGCCUUUCAACAAUAUUAGUUAACAUUGCACACCUCGUCUCCAUUUUUAUGUACAUACACAUGAGUGAGAUUGGAACAUCAGUAACGUAACAACAUUACCAAACAUGAAGACAAUAAAUUUGUUUCUCCAAGCAUAGACGUUACUGAAUAAGCGUGCAACUGCACAUCCACCACAUGAGCCAUAAUUUUUUAGCUCUGUGACAACAGCUUAUAGUUGCAAAAGAGCUGACGAUGAUGGUUUAGAAUGUAUAUGAUCAAAAUAGAUUAAAUGGAGGGGAGGAUGGACUACCUAUGUUGAAUCGGACUAGCCGCAAGGUCACAAGUGCCUUGUCUAAAUAGCCAAAAAGACAAAAGGAGGCCUCCUGGAUUCUCCAUCCUGAAGCUAAGCAUAACUCCAACUCCAGACACGCUAGGGGGCUACUAAAGGUGCAAUACGCUAGGGAUGUCUUCUGGGUGGGAAGCCCGGUAGCAGGCUUGCCUUAGGGCCCAAGAGGCCAACUGGAGGAUCGGUGCAGUAGGGCAGCUCAGGAGCCUAGAUAAGGACUGUGGGAGCAUCUUGGCAGGCAAGCUAAGAUGGCAGUGGUAUGAGAUCUGAUGGAUUCCUUGUAAACCUAGCCCGCGCCACCUAUAUAAGGAGGGGCUCGGGGUUGUCAUUCACAUAUACUCUCAUAGACUAUACUCUCUAUAGCAUUAUACUUCAUCUCCACUCUAAACGCCUCGCACAAGGUGCUCCACCAUGAAUAAAAAUCAGAUACAGGAUGUUGGGCAUUACCUCUCACCGAGGGCCCGAACCUAGGUAAAAACCUUUGUGCGGACUACCUUGUCGUGUAUCCCUACAAGUUCACCACCCUACUAUGGGUACUCACGGUUUUCCAUACUAUCACAUAGUUAAGUUCUAACACAUUUUCUCUGGGGAGUUGAAGCAACUCAUGGUGUAAGUAGGUGUUGCUUGAAGCACUGAUUCUACUAGCACCUCCUUUCCCUCCUUUGAGAUACCUUGUCCUUCCAAUCCAACCACUUUGCCAUUUGAGCUUUCUUUAAUAUGUUUAAAAUUUCCUUCCUUUGACCUACCCACCACGGUUGGGAGCCCCAAAAAAUGCUCGCUCAAUGCCUUAGGAUCUGUGCAAAGAUAUUAACAACAACUUAGUCCUCCUAUUUGCCUCACUUCCCAAAGAAGGUUGAAGCUUUUAGAAAAUUUCCCAUUUGUCCCGAGGCCCACUCGUAGUCAAAUAGGAUAUAUUUAAGGUUACAAAGUUGCCAUUUGACGGUUGAAGAAAUACUAUACUAUCAUCUGCAGAAAUACGAUGGGCUACAUGGGGGUUAGUGCUCCCAAAAGAUAUACCAUUGAUCUCUUUAUCUUUGAGCACUCAUGAGAAAGGCCAAAAAACUCGCAACAUAGAAAAUAAGAAAAUAGGGAGACCAUUGGUCUCCUUGCCAGAGCCCUCUUCAUAGUAUAAAAAAUACAUAACACACUCCUUUCAAUUUGAUAGAAAACCUGGCCGGGGUACCACACAUCAUAAUCGUCAAGAUCAACCUAUCUGAGAAACUAAGUGCCCUCAUCAUCAGAUCGAGGAAAAUCCAAACCACCCUCUUAUAGGCCUUCAUCAUGUAUAGUUUAAUUGCGAACAUUGGAUUUUUCUAUUUCUUGAACGAACAUACUUUGCUCCUGCGUGAUCAUUAUGGAUAUGACAACCUUCAAUCUCUUUGCUAGGCCUUUGAAGCAAUCUGACUGAGCGUGUUCAAUAAGUUGAUUGAUCCCAUUUGAGGAAGUAUCUCCAUUGAGGUAAUUUUGGGGAUUAGGACUAGAACCAUAUCACUAAAGUUUGGUCAAAUAACUCCAUUAAAAGAAUCACCUAUUACUAUGCGUACAUCAUUUUUUAGAAAUAACUAGUGAAAUUGGUAAACAUAAGUGAGAGGUUAUCUUGCCCCUGCGCUCUUUCCAGUCAAAUUUAGAAUAGUGCAUUCUCAAUUUCUUCAUCCAUCACGUCCGUGUUCACCCUCUCCUCCAUAUCACUAGUCACACAGGGUCGGAUGUGAGCUAAGAUGUUGUCAGCAUCAACAGAGGCUUCUGAAGAAAACAACUAAGCAUAGAAAUCGGCCGAAAUCUUCCCCAUCUCAUUGUCAAUAGUACAACUCGUGCCAUCCGCCCUCAUGUUUUGAUCGUCUUCCUUGAGAAAUUCCAGUUGGGAACAUUGCAUACACAUUAUUUGUUCCUGUGCACGAACCACAUGAAGCUACGCUUCAAUCUCGCUGGUCUUCAGCAAGGAUGUCUAGAUCCCAAUGCACUACCCUUUCCAUCGAAGCUGGACCUUGUGCCUAGUAAUCUCACAACAUACAAGAUAAAAUACAGAGCCACUUCAAUGUUUCAUAUCAUUGGUGACAUUGUUACGCUUCCUGUAGAGCUCACUCUGGCCGAAAUUGUUAUCACAUGCACACUAUCAUGCCUACAUGGGCAUCCACCUCUCCUCAAACGUUAAUGCCCUCUUCUUACUUUUGGUAAUGACUAGGUUUUCUAGCGAUCUAUUAACGAGCAAACCAUGGUCUGGUCCUCCAUGACAACAUGUUCAAUGGGUGUAUCCUACAAUGAAUGCACGAAUUCAUCAUUGCAUGGACCCCUGUCCACAUGUACAUAAACGAUCUCAUCCCGCUCCCUCUUAUUGUCCCAAGUGUACAUGUUGCUACUAAAACAAAGUUUUGAAACACUAUUAUUGGCUACACUCUCCCUAAUGCGCUCCAUUUGUGUGAAACUACUCAAGUAAUCUCCUAGUUGUUGUGAUUAAAAGAAUUCUUUGUUGAGGUAUCAUUGUAAUAGAUAAAUGUAUUAUUAGGAUCCAGUCUCUCGGAGCCUCCCUUAGCUACACAAAUUUUCAUCAAUCUCUCUUCCUAUCCAGUAGCUUUAGGUGAUAAUCAUUGUGACGCCUUUGGUGGUCACCAUCACGUUGCCUUGUCUUAUGAACAGAAGUGCCUCGUCUGCGUUGCUCUGAGGUAGAUGGGUCAUCUUUCCCAAUGGCCUUGCACCCUUUCCCAUAUAGAUUUUUUUAUGUCUUGCUUACUUUCAUGCUCCUUCCUCAGGUCCCACUUCCUUUUUAGAUUUAAAUCAUCCCUUAGUUCACAAUAAUGUCACAUUUCUUGCCUGCAUUGGCCCUCCCUACACUUCAUCUUAGGCAGUUACCUGUACAAGACCAUCUCGAGGAUCCUCGCUAGAGAGAGAGUCCACAGAGGGUGUAUAAUCAGUGUAUGACCUGCACGUAAAUGGACGGGCAUGCAACGCUACAUGACCCUGCGCCCAUAGACGCCCUUGCUUGACCUAGUGCUCCCAAAACUAAAGUUCCUGCUUUCUUUCACCGGCCUCUACUUAGUUUUUGCCUAUGAGGAGCCAUGUCCAAGUGAUGCCCUCAACCAUUCACCCAACUGGGGUGAGGAAUCAUUUUGUGGUUCAAAUCAUCUGUCAACAUGUGCUAGUCUGUCGUAGUCAAUCCAAAAGAGAGGUAUCUUCUCAAAUUGAAAAUCAAACAAGGUCCCCUCAUCUUUUGCUGAAGAGUGGAGAAAGAAGCCUUAGACUAGUGAAAGAAAUAUGAAAAAUCUAUCUCUAAAUCUGAGAUGGUUCCCCCAUAAAUCCAUCCUUCUUAACAUCACUCUUUACCACGCCACCAAGACAAUUCCCAAGAGCAUUCCCAAAAGUAUAUGAUCAUUUAUAUAGGGGAGGAUCUGUAAUUAUCACCCAUGGCUCCGUCAUACAAAACAUUAUCUUCGAUGACCUAGUUUUUUCAUCAUAAUCCUUCAAAACUAUCACAUUAAAACCAAAUUGCCACAUUCAAUUAUAUAGAGCGUGCUUCUAGACUCCUUUGUUAUGGAAUCUAAAGAAGAAGAUACUAUUUCUAAUGUGACUUACUUGGACUCCCUAAUAGUGUCACAUGUAUGUUGUGUAGCCCUAGCAAACACGUUGAUGUUGAUUUGCUGGAGUGAGCAUGCCUUUCCAACCACUGACCACCGAGUAGGCCUCGGUCGGUCUGGAAUCCUGAUUCUCAAGCAUGAGAUCUAUUAGUUCCUUUUGUUGUUAACUUCAGGGCUCCUUGUUAAUUUGGUUGAGAGAUUAGUUGCCUCCCCUGAAGCAUUUCCAUCUGUCAGGGACUUUGAAGGUUCUCAUCUUAAUGAUCCUUGGUCGCCCUGUUCACUUGAGCUGUCGAUUUACGCCACGCCUUCUCUCCCAUCGUCGCGCAAAGGAGUGGAAGCACCAAGACCAAUCAAUGUAGGAGUAUAGAGUGUCAUCACCUCAUAGAUGAACAGAAACCUAACCCUAGCACUACUUGUCGGUCGCCUAUAAUCGCCCUUAGCAUUUCUUUUCAUGUUGGGCCCGCCACAAGGUAUUUAUACGUGUGCUUCCAUUGGUACUUUUUUUGCAUUGGAGCCUUUCUGCUACAUUUGCCUUUCUACGAAGGAUGUCUUAUCCAAAUCAUAUAGUCUCCUCUAUCUAUAGGAAGCGAGGACAUUAGCUCUUCUUUUUUUCAAGGCAAAUACACUUGCUAGUGUUCAAGCGACAUCGAAAGAAGUCUUGUCACAUGUGAAGACGACGCUAAGAGUGUGACACAUAUAGGUGCCAACUUGAAGAAUAAUGCAAAUUUCAGUAAAUAUGAAUAGCUCCUGGGGGAACGAGCGCAUAAAGGAAUCAGCCACCAUAAAUGGAUCAUUUCCAAAGAAACAAAGUCACAAAGAGAGAGACAAGACAUUAGCUUCUUUAUGGGGAACACAUAUAUUUAAAUGUUGCCUUGCUCUCUGAUUAUUAACAAGAAAUAAUUUUUACUAAUAUAUUAUGUGUAAAUCUUGAUAGAUAUGGAAUGUAUUUUGGUCACUAUGUUUUAAAGAAUCAUAUUAGUUUUUGGUAUGUAGAAAUUAAAAGAAGUUCAUGUGCCUUCAAGGCAUGUCAAGGUGUGUUGUUCCACCUCAAAAUUGGUUCAUACUAAAUGGUUAUUCUCCCUACAUAUAGCCCCAAUUCUCAUGCUCUCUCUCUCUCUCUCUCUCUCUCUCUCUCUAUUUUAUAUUCCAGACUACUCCAUAAAGCCUAACUGGUGAAGGUCCAGAAAAACCCAGCAGUGACAGGUUCAACUCCCAUUAGUAGUCUAUACUUAGUGGAGGAGAAACAAGCCACUUACAGGCACGAGCCCGCCAAUGGUGAAUAAAUCAGGAAUGAAAAUCAGGCCAUGGCCAGUCCAAAUCCAGCACCUGCCAACAAUGUGUAGUCUCCACUACUCGAACCUACUUUUCCUCAGUGCGUUACAUCAUGCGAUGUUUGGAGAAUCCAUAGAGUUGGGGAUCCGAAUAUAAAAAACAACAAUGGGGAGUGGCUUGAAGAAUAGGAGCCAAGAAGCCGGACGGAGAAGGCCUCCACCAUGCUGCACCAUUGGCCGAUACUGACCCGUAUGGUGCAAGGACCAAGGCAGAACUGAACACCGUCAUCAUCUAGGUUGCAAAGGAAGUUGGACCACUAUGUUGCUUCUCUCGGACAAACUCAAUGAUUUCAUGCAGUUGGCACCCAUGCCACAUUCCAUAGAGAUAACAACAUUGAGGAGGAGGAGGGACAACGCAAGGUUUCUUCCUCAUAGGAAUUAGUUUCGAGGAAGUGGGGGGAUGAUAUGGCAUGAUGAGCAGUUAACAAGGGAAGUUUGCAUGACUGUGGAGGACAAAGCAUUAAGACAAGUGUGCUAGUAGCUAGAUAAGGGAUGAAUGAUAGCAGGAAGCAAUAAUGAGCUUACUGGGUGAGGCUACUAUUUUUUAAGUUGCGACCUACUAAUCAUAACAACAAUUGAUCGUAACAACGUACCAUUGAUGAUUUAGGGUAUUUAUUUAGUAACUGUCAGGAUGUGACUAGGGCUUCUAAGUGGUGGGUUGUAUAUUACUAACAAGUAGCAUGUUUAGCCUCAAUAUUGUCCUCUGUCACUCGUAACAACGUGCCAUUGACGGACCACAUAUUGGGCCCGUCACUACUACCUUUUUCAAACAAAAAUAGAAUUUUAGUUAUAGUUAGAUUCACAACAAUCCCGCCGGCCAUUAGUGUUAAGUAGCAUUGCUGACCAGUUUUUUGAACCACCACUUUUGAUCGAUAACUAGGCGAGAACUCUAGUGUAGUGCACAUUUGUUUGGUUGAGAAUUUUUAGUGUUUUUAUGUGCACAAAGACAUAUCGUUCAACCCUAACAUGUUCUCUUUAGGUGGGGUCGAGAGUGAAGGACUGGGUAGCUUGGAUGCAGGGGAAAUGGCACCUCGAGGGGUUCAAGUCUUCAUGAUCAAUAACCACAAUUUUGAUCUGAAUGAGCUACCGACUGAGCAUGAGUAGCUCAAGAAGGAGUAGUCACCCGUGGAGCAAGAGUAGCCACCUAUGGCACAACAUGAGCUUUAAUAUUCACAAUGGUUGGAGGCUACUCAAAUCCACCUUGUGUGAGCAAAAAUAACUCUUGGCCCAAAGUAUAGCCAUGUCAGAAAUUAUCGAAACAAUAUCCUUAUCCCAAGGACGAUUGUAAAGCUUAUGUGGAACUUUUCAAUUUCUCGCUUCCUAUUUUUUGGUGAUUGCCUGACGCUAUUGCUAAACUUGAGGGAAGGACUUGGUAUACUGCCUCAUGAUCAACGUGUCACCUGGAAUGGCUUUUCUAUUCAUUUCCCAUGAUGGUUUUGAUAUGUAGAUUGUUUGAACAAGCAUUUAUUCAUUCGGUAAAGCUUUGUGAAACAUCAACGGUGGAGCUAGGUCUCUCGUCAUGUGAAAUGACAGUAGGUCAAGAAAUGUG